rnacentral:rRNA from 1 species
UACGGGGGGAGCAAGCGUUGUUCGGAAUUACUGGGCGUAAAGGGCUCGUAGGCGGCCAACUAAGUCCGACGUGAAAUCCCCAGGCUUAACCUGGGAACUGCGUCGGAUACUGGAUGGCUUGAAUUCGGGAGAGGGAUGCAGAAUUCCAGGUGUAGCGGUGAAAUGCGUAGAUAUCUGGAGGAAUACCGGUGGCGAAGGCGGCAUCCUGGACCGACAUUGACGCUGAGGAGCGAAAGCUAGGGGAGCAAACGGG